rnacentral:ncRNA from 1 species
AUAAAUGCUAUGAAGAGAAGAGUAGUGAAAAGGAAUUCUUAAAGAGAGCUGAUAUGUGGUGAAAGUUAGCAGAAGAAAUUUUCAUGAAGAUGGCCUUGGAGCAUAUUUCCCAAGCAAUAUUUGUUAAGGAAUUUACGGCAGCAUCCGUUAUAAUGCAAGGUGAUGAUAGUCACCUAAUGAGUUAUUUAUUGUGAAAUAAAUAAAAAGUAGAGUGGUAACACGUAUAUACGUCUCUAUA